AUUGAACGCUGGCGGAAUGCCUUACACAUGCAAGUCGAACGGCAGCACGGGGGCAACCCUGGUGGCGAGUGGCGAACGGGUGAGUAAUACAUCGGAACGUGCCCAGUCGUGGGGGAUAACUACGCGAAAGCGUAGCUAAUACCGCAUACGAACUCUGGUUGAAAGCGGGGGACUCGCAAGAGCCUCGCGCGAUUGGAGCGGCCGAUGGCAGAUUAGGUAGUUGGGGGGUAAAGGCUCACCAAGCCGACGAUCUGUAGCUGGUCUGAGAGGACGACCAGCCACACUGGGACUGAGACACGGCCCAGACUCCUACGGGAGGCAGCAGUGGGGAAUUUUGGACAAUGGCGCAAGCCUGAUCCAGCCAUUCCGCGUGCAGGAUGAAGGCCCUCGGGUUGU
rnacentral:rRNA from 1 species